AGAGUUUGAUCCUGGCUCAGGAUGAACGCUAGCGGCAGGCUUAACACAUGCAAGUCGAGGGGUAACAUUGUGCUUGCACAGAUGACGACCGGCGCACGGGUGCGUAACGCGUAUAGAACCUACCUUUUACAGAGGGAUAGCCUUUAGAAAUGAAGAUUAAUACCUUAUGGUAUUGAGUCUCGGCAUCGAGACUUAAUUAAAGAUUUAUCGGUAAAAGAUGGCUAUGCGUCCUAUUAGUUAGAUGGUAAGGUAACGGCUUACCAUGACAUCGAUAGGUAGGGGUCCUGAGAGGGAGAUCCCCCACACUGGUACUGAGACACGGACCAGACUCCUACGGGAGGCAGCAGUGGGGAAUAUUGGACAAUGGGGGCAACCCUGAUCCAGCAAUACCGCGUGUGUGAAGAAGGCCUGAGGGUUGUAAAGCACUUUCAAUUGUGAAGAAAAGCUAGUGGUUAAUAGCCAUUAGCCUUGACAUUAACUUUAGAAGAAGCACCGGCUAACUCCGUGCCAGCAGCCGCGGUAAUACGGAGGGUGCAAGCGUUAAUCGGAAUUACUGGGCGUAAAGCGUGCGUAGGCGGUUUAUUAAGUCAGAUGUGAAAGCCCCGGGCUUAACCUGGGAACUGCAUUUGAAACUGGUCAACUAGAGUAUGGUAGAGGAAAGUGGAAUUUCUGGCGUAGCGGUGAAAUGCGUAGAUAUCAGAAGGAACAUCAAUGGCGAAGGCAACUUUCUGGACCAAUACUGACGCUGAGGUACGAAAGCGUGGGUAGCAAACAGGAUUAA
rnacentral:rRNA from 1 species